UACGAAGGGGGCUAGCGUUGUUCGGAAUCACUGGGCGUAAAGCGCACGUAGGCGGAUCUUUAAGUCAGGGGUGAAAUCCCGAGGCUCAACCUCGGAACUGCCUUUGAUACUGGAGGUCUCGAGUCCGGGAGAGGUGAGUGGAACUGCGAGUGUAGAGGUGAAAGUCGUAGAUAUUCGCAAGAACACCAGUGGCGAAGGCGGCUCACUGGCCCGGAACUGACGCUGAGGUGCGAAAGCGUGGGGAGCAAACAGG
rnacentral:rRNA from 1 species